rnacentral:rRNA from 1 species
UACAGAGGGUGCGAGCGUUUGUCCGGAAUCACUGGGCGUAAAGGGCGCGUAGGUGGUGGCUUAAGCGUGCGGUGAAAGCUCGGGGCUCAACUCCGAGUCGGCCGUGCGAACUGGGCUCACUGGAGCAUAGUAGAGGCAGGUGGAAUUCCGGGUGUAGCGGUGGAAUGCGUAGAGAUCCGGAAGAACACCGGUGGCGAAGGCGACUCACUGGACACGUAUUGACGCUGAGACGGCGAAAGCGUGGGGAGCAAACAGG